GACGAACGCUGGCGGCGCGCUUAACACAUGCAAGUCGAGCGAUGAAAUUUCGACAGAUCCCUUCGGGGUGAAGAUGAAAUGGAUUAGCGGCGGACGGGUGAGUAACACGUGAGUAACCUGCCUUUGACAUUGGGAUAGCCUCGGGAAACUGGGAUUAAUACCAAAUGACACUAACUGAUCACAUGAUCAAUUAGUCAAAGAAAUUCGGUCAAAGAUGGACUCGCGGCUGAUUAGCUAGUUGGUGAGGUAACGGCCCACCAAGGCGACGAUCAGUAGCCGGCCUGAGAGGGUGAUCGGCCACAUUGGAACUGAGACACGGUCCAAACUCCUACGGGAGGCAGCAGUGGGGAAUAUUGCACAAUGGGGGAAACCCUGAUGCAGCGACGCCGCGUGAGCGAAGAAGGCCUUCGGGUCGUAAAGCUCUUUUAUGAGGGAAGAUAAUGACGGUACCCCAAGAAAAAGCCCCGGCUAACUACGUG
rnacentral:rRNA from 1 species